rnacentral:rRNA from 1 species
UCGACGGGGUGGUAACGCGUGAGAAUCUGCCUUCAGGAGGGGGAUAACGACUAGAAAUGGUCGCUAAUACCCCAUAUGCCUACGGGUGAAACGAGUUUUGCCUGAAGAUGAGCUCGCGUCAGAUUAGCUAGUUGGUGAGGUAACGGCUCACCAAGGCGACGAUCUGUAGCUGGUCUGAGAGGAUGAUCAGCCACACUGGGACUGAGACACGGCCCAGACUCCUACGGGAGGCAGCAGUGGGGAAUUUUCCGCAAUGGGCGAAAGCCUGACGGAGCAAGACCGCGUGGGGGAUGAAUGCCUAAUGGUUGUAACCCCUUUUAUUCGGGAAGAUAAUGACGGUACCGAAUGAAUCAGCCUCGGCUAACUCCGUGCCAGCAGCCGCGGUAAUACGGAGGAGGCAAGCGUUAUCCGGAAUUAUUGGGCGUAAAGCGUCCGUAGGUGGUUGGACAAGUCAGCUGUUAAAGAGUGGUGCUUAACACCAUAAAGGCGGUUGAAACUGUUUAACUAGAGUUUGGUAGGGGUUGCGGGAAUUCCCAGUGUAGCGGUGAAAUGCGUAAUAUUGGGAAGAACACCGGUGGCGAAAGCGCGCGACUGGACCUGAACUGACACUGAGGGACGAAAGCUAGGGGAGCGAAAGGGAUUAGAUACCCCUGUAGUCACGCGUUACUC